rnacentral:rRNA from 1 species
UACGGGGGGAGCAAGCGUUGUUCGGAUUUACUGGGCGUAAAGGGCGCGUAGGCGGCCUGUUAAGUCGAACGUGAAAUCCCCGGGCUCAACCCGGGAACUGCGUCCGAUACUGGCAGGCUUGAAUCCGGGAGAGGGAUGCGGAGUUCCAGGUGUAGCGGUGAAAUGCGUAGAUAUCUGGAGGAACACCGGUGGCGAA